rnacentral:rRNA from 1 species
AACGAACGCUGGCGGCAUGCCUAACACAUGCAAGUCGAACGAGAUCUUCGGGUCUAGUGGCGCACGGGUGCGUAACGCGUGGGAAUCUGCCCUUUGGUUCGGAAUAACAGUUGGAAACGACUGCUAAUACCGGAUGAUGACGAAAGUCCAAAGAUUUAUCGCCAGAGGAUGAGCCCGCGUAGGAUUAGCUAGUUGGUGUGGUAAAGGCGCACCAAGGCGACGAUCCUUAGCUGGUCUGAGAGGAUGACCAGCCACACUGGGACUGAGACACGGCCCAGACUCCUACGGGAGGCAGUAGUGGGGAAUAUUGGACAAUGGGCGAAAGCCUGAUCCAGCAAUGCCGCGUGAGUGAUGAAGGCCUUAGGGUUGUAAAGCUCUUUUACCCGGGAUGAUAAUGACAGUACCGGGAGAAUAAGCUCCGGCUAGCUCCGUGCCAGCCGCCGCAGUAA